GCAGGUUCAAAACCCAAUAACUACAUAUUUUUCCUUCUUUUUGUUUUUAAUGUAUUUUCUGUUAUUUUUUUGGUUUUUUUUUCUAUUUUUCAUUUGUUUUCCUCUUUUCGUUUUUAAUAUACUUUCUGUUAUUUUUUCGUUUUUUUCUUUCUAUUUUUUCAUUUUGUUCUACUUUUGUCUCAUUGUUUUAUUACUAUUUUUUUGUGUUUAUUUUUUAAUUUGUGCUUUUUUAAUGUCUAUUCUUUUUUAUUUUUUUAUAUUUAUUUAUUUAUUUCUAUGUUAUUUCAAAGUAAAUAUUUGUUUUUAAUGUAUUUUCUGUUAUUUUUUUGGUUUUUUUUCUAUUUUUUUUAAUUUGUGCUUUUUUAAUGUCUAUUCUUUUUUAUUUUUUUAUAUUUAUUUAUUUAUUUCUGAGUUAUUUCAAAGUAAAUAUCGUUAUGAUGAAAAGUAAUUAUAUUCAUGAAGAAAUGUAAUAUUUUUAAAACAUUACCUUUCUUUAUAUCAACAAUUUUCGUGUAAAAAGUAACAAUUUUAAAAUAUUACAUUUAUUCAUAUGAAUAAUUACUUUUUAUUAAGACAAUAUUUACUUUUAAUAAGUAUAAAAUAUACAUUUGUUAACAC
rnacentral:lncRNA from 1 species